CUGUUUAAACAGGUAAUAUUGAUAGUCUUCCUCAAUUGCUCCCCGAUCAAGUUUUGAAGCUAAAGCAAUUGACUGUCAUGACACUUGCUGAGGCAAACAAGGUUCUACCAUACGAUCAACUAAUGCUGGAGUUGGAUGUCACAAAUGUUCGUGAACUUGAAGAUUUCAUCAUCAAUGAAUGCAUAUACGUGGGUAUUGUCAGAGGAAAGCUGGAUCAGAUGCGAAGGUGUUUUGAGGUCCAAUUUGCUGCUGGAAGGGAUUUGAGGCCGGGAAAACUUGGGAGCAUGAUUCAAACACUAUCAAACAGGUUGGGUACAUCGGACAACUUACUUAUCUCAAUUCAAGAGAAGAUAAAAUGGGCUGACACUAUGAGUGAGUUGGACAAGAAACAUCGGAAGGAGGUUGAAGAUAGGGUGGAAGAAGUAAAAAAGUCCAUUUCCAUCAAGCUCUGCUGUAGGAUAUUGCUAUAUCCCAUACAAAAUAUGAACACCGUUUUCCUCUUCUUCGUAUAUGUUUCGUUCAAGCCAUCGAUGAAAAACGAAUGUUCUAAGCCUCCUCAGUGUCAAAGCUCUGCUGUGAAGCAAACAAGUUUCAAUGGAGAAAAGAAAGGAUUCGAGAACCCAGGGUUUUCAAAACAACUUUUAUAGUCCAAAGAAGGGAGGUAAACUAAGAGAUAUUAGGAGUAAAAGCUUCGAUAUUCCCAGGAGCUCAUCUCUGGCGCAAAAAAAAAUUCGUAAGUCUCAGAGGAUUCGCAACAAAAGUGUGGAAUUUGAUGAUAAUCUCCCACUCUAGCAGUCUUUGGGAGAACUGUUUCUCUUUUCCCACUCUUGAUUUUGCUUUGUGUCUCGGAAAUUAAAGAUGGCUAUGAGGAUUGGCGGAGACACAGGUCAGACCGGAAUGAAAAAAAUGAGAGGCGUUAGUUCUCCUAGCAGGGGAAUUUAAAUUGAAAAAAUGGAAAAAGAUAAGAGUUGGAGAGGUAAUUCAGGCAAUUCAGUAGUGUUUUCUCCUUGCUUUCUUGUGUUUUCCUGCAAGGAGCUGAAGCUGUAAUCAGAGUGAAAAGGGCUCUAGCUCCCAUAUUUGGGUUGUCGGAUUGAAGGGUUACUUUCCUCAAGCCUCUGUUUCUGGAAAGAUUGCCUAAAAUAUGGCUAUUUCAAAGCUUUUGGGCAUGGAAGAAGAUUGCUUUCCUACCAUCAAAUAUUGGAUACGGGAACAAUGAGCUGAAAAAAGUAACAUACGCAGGGGGUUCUACACCUGGAAGCAUACAGACAUGGCAAAUGGAUGAUUUAUUUGGGCUGACUGACUUCAAUCAAAGCUAUGUUUACAUGGACGAUGGGUCAUCUAAGGUGGCUUUGCGGAGGCGGAGCAUGGGGAAGUGAAUUUUCCGGUUAUAAGUGCUGUGAUUGUUGAGAAGAUUUGCCAAUAUUUUUAUU